UACGAGAGGCCCAAACGUUAUUCGGAUUUACUGGGCUUAAAGAGUCCGUAGGCGGCGCAGAAAGUGGGGUGUGAAAGCCCUCGGCUUAACCGAGGAAUUGCGCUCCAAACUACUGUGCUUGAGGAAUCUAGAGGUGAGCGGAACUGAUGGUGGAGCGGUGAAAUGCGUUGAUAUCAUCAGGAACACCGGAGGCGAAGGCGGCUCACUGGGGAUUUUCUGACGCUGAGGAGCGAAAGCCAGGGGAGCAAACGGG
rnacentral:rRNA from 1 species